ACAGAGUCCAAGGGCGUUUGGUGUGGGCGGGAGCCGGUACAUCUUCUCCUAUCCCUGGCAUAGGGCCUGGCACACCGCAGGUGCUCAAUAGUUGUUGAACAAGUGAAUGAAUAUGGGUCAGGUUCUGCUCUAAGAGCCUGGGAUUCCAACAGGAGUGCCACAUACUCUCUGCCCCACGGAGCUUACGGCCACGUGGACCUGCUGCAGCCCCCGCCUUCCUGGUCACCCUGAGCAACCAGGAGACACUUCUGUUAAAGUGCUCUGGACAGCAAUCGAUGCCAAGGACAGCUGGCUGGACCUCGAGCCCUUUCGUUCAAGCUGUUUGCAGCCCUGGCUCAACGCUGUCUGGCAGGGGAAAGGCAUCUUUGAGAAAGCCGGAAAGCAAGCUGACACAUUUGGCCUGGCUUCCCAGUGAAAAUCCAAAGCCCAUUACUGGAACGUCAUGCUCUCUAGGCUCAAAAAGCCCCAGGGAAAGAAGAGCCCCAGGCUCCAGGAACCCAGAGCCUUGAGGAACCACUGAGUCUCACGAUUGCAUGCUGCGGACCGUGGGGAGUAUCACAGCCCCAGACAUAGGGACAGAGUGUGAGUGCCUGCUUCUAGGACGGCCCAAGGAAGGCUGUUCUCACUCAAAGACACACUCCCAUCAGAUGCUUCUGGGCAGGUGCAUAGAACAGCUACCAAGACACAGCCACAGAGCACUCCCUACGUGGCUCUUUGGGAGGGCAGUUUGGCUCCAACAAUCACAAUUCAGGAAGAACAAGUACAUUAACUACAGCAUUGCACAAGAGGAGAAGCAAUGGAAGUGUCCAUCAAGAGGGGACUGGUUGGAAAGAAGAAACAAUGGGAUUCUACACAACCAUUUAAAAGGGGUCUUAACCUUGCUGUUACUGUUGGGAUAUUCCACGGAGGACCUCAUGCGGACCUGGCCUACGGAGGUGCUCACUGGAGACACUGGCAGGCAUCCCACAGAGUAGCUUGUCAUGUACAGCUCAGCGACACACCCCAGGUGUCCCAAAUAAUCCACAACAAACUGAAAUUGUUUCUUUGAAGAGCUGUGAAGCUGCCCUGCUUAUCAGUAGAUCACGUGGCCUGCCAUCUUUGCUCCCUGCCAGCUGCUCAGCAGCUUUUCCCAAGCAUAGGAGAACAAAGUCCACUGGUCCCAUGCAUUGGAAAUUCCCUUCUUUUCCCUCUCUCCCUUUUCUAUUUUGCCUAUAUAGAUGAGAUCAAUCUUUGAUUGCUCUUCCGAGUGUACAAAUAAAAUAGUGUGCAAACA